UACGUAGGGGGCGAGCGUUGUCCGGAUUUACUGGGCGUAAAGCGCGCGUAGGCGGAGCGUUAAGUCCGGUCUGAAAGCCCCCGGCUCAACCGGGGAAGGUGGCUGGAAACUGGCGUUCUGGAGGGCGAUAGAGGCGAGUGGAAUUCCCGGUGUAGCGGUGAAAUGCGCAGAUAUCGGGAGGAACACCAAUGGCGAAGGCAGCUCGCUGGGACGUUACUGACGCUGAGACGCGAAAGCGUGGGGAGCAAACAGG
rnacentral:rRNA from 1 species